rnacentral:rRNA from 1 species
ACGGGAGGCAGCAGUGGGGAAUCUUCCGCAAUGGGCGCAAGCCUGACGGAGCAACGCCGCGUGAGUGAAGAAGGUCUUCGGAUCGUAAAGCUCUGUUGAGAGGGACGAGAGAUAAUGUCAGGAAAUGGGCAUUAGAGGACGGUACCUUUCGAGGAAGCCACGGCUAACUACGUGCCAGCAGCCGCGGUAAUACGUAGGUGGCGAGCGUUGUCCGGAAUUAUUGGGCGUAAAGGGAGCGCAGGUGGGAUUGCAAGUCAGUCUUAAAAGUGCGGGGCUCAACCCCGUGAUGGGAUUGAAACUGCAGUUCUUGAGUGCAGGAGAGGAAAGCGGAAUUCCUAGUGUAGCGGUGAAAUGCGUAGAUAUUAGGAGGAACACCAGUGGCGAAGGCGGCUUUCUGGACUGUAACUGACGUUGAGGCUCGAAAGCGUGGGGAGCAAACAGGAUUAGAUACCCUGGUA